CCCGUGCCCGCAGUCCAGUUCAGAUCCACCGCCUCCAUCCCAAUCGAGCACAAUCCACCUCGCCUUUGACUGCUGCCUCCCUCCCCAUGGAGCGCCGUCCACCCCGCCGUUGACGGCCGCCUCCCUUCCCAUGAAGCGCUGUCCACCUCGCCGUUGAUGGCCGCCUCCCUCCCCAUGAAGCGCCAUCCACCCCGCCGCUGGCGGCCGCCUCCCUCCCCUUGAAGCGCCGUCCACCUCGCCGUCGACGGCCGCCUCCCUCCCCAUGAAGCGUCGUCCACCCCGCCGUUGACGGCCGCCUCCACCGCUCUAGACCGGCCACCUCUUCGCUGCGAGCCUAGGACGUCCAGAUCUGCCUACCUCGGCUCUGACUUCCAGAUCCUCCCCCAGAUCCGCCUGCGUGCAAAGGGGUGGUUCAUGAUCAUCCAUUCAGACCAAAAGCAUGUUGUUUAUUUGAGUUAUAGGUGAUGGUGCUAUAAGGAAAGCAGUGCUUGUUGCAAAAGCUAGGGAGAAGGAUGUAGGACAAUCACACUCUGUUGUACCAAGAUUUAUUGAGGAAAAAUGUUCAGUUGCAAAGGCACUGCAAAAAUGAUUCUCUUCUGACCAAACAUCUACAAUUGGUAUAUGUCAAGAUGGGAUAGGAAAUACCCAAGAGCUUCUUGCUUUUCAUGAUGAGCCAAUGGAUGGUAGUGAUCUGUGCUAGCCUAAAAAGCCGGACAUGGGGACAUGCUCAGACAUGCGUAUGCCGCCGUAUUUCGUGAUUACGAAUGAAAAAAAGAAUGCAUAGGGAGCAUGUCCUCCCAAUGGCAACCACACCAGACUAGGGGUGAAUGGAUCCUCCCAAGGCCAAGAGAAUGCUUGUACUCCGUUGACAAAUUCUUCUCAUCCUGAAGAUCUUGCUCAUGCUACACACCUGGAUGAGCGUGGUUCUACUCCAAAGAGGAUAAUCAUUCAGGAAUGCCACUAGCAUAAUUAGUGUUUAAUAUCGUGAAGUGCAGGUAGCCUUUUAUUUUUUCACUUGCUUCUCUUGGCAAUUCAUGUAAAUUCGUGGCAAAUCAUGUAAGUUGAGGUUCUAUGAAUCAUGAGUUGGAUAUGAAUAUGUGGAUCUUGUGAACAUUGAGCUUUCAAUAUAAUUGGUUCAUUGUG